AUUGAACGCUGGCGGCAUGCUUUACACAUGCAAGUCGAACGGUAACAGGUUAAGCUGACGAGUGGCGAACGGGUGAGUAAUGCAUCGGAACGUGCCCGAUCGUGGGGGAUAACACUUCGAAAGAAGUGCUAAUACCGCAUACGAUCUGAGGAUGAAAGCGGGGGACCGUAAGGCCUCGCGCGAUCGGAGCGGCCGAUGUCAGAUUAGGUAGUUGGUGGGGUAAAGGCUCACCAAGCCGACGAUCUGUAGCUGGUCUGAGAGGACGACCAGCCACACUGGGACUGAGACACGGCCCAGACUCCUACGGGAGGCAGCAGUGGGGAAUUUUGGACAAUGGGCGCAAGCCUGAUCCAGCAAUGCCGCGUGCAGGAAGAAGGCCUUCGGGUUGUAAACUGCUUUUGUACGGAGCGAAAAGGCUCCCUCUAAUACAGGGGGCUCAUGACGGUACCGUAAGAAUAAGCACCGGCUAACUACGUGCCAGCAGCCGCCGCCG
rnacentral:rRNA from 1 species